rnacentral:rRNA from 1 species
GAUGAACGCUGGCGGCGUGCCUAAUACAUGCCAGUCGAGCGAACAGACGAGGAGCUUGCUCCUCUGACGUUAGCGGCGGACGGGUGAGUAACACGUGUAUAACCUACCUAUAAGACUGGGAUAACUUCGGGAAACCGGAGCUAAUACCGGAUAAUAUAUUGAACCGCAUGGUUCAAUAGUGAAAGACGGUUUUGCUGUCACUUAUAGAUGGAUCCGCGCCGCAUUAGCUAGUUGGUAAGGUAACGGCUUACCAAGGCAACGAUGCGUAGCCGACCUGAGAGGGUGGUCGGCCACACUGGAACUGAGCCACGGUCCAGACUCCUACGGGAGGCAGCAGUAGGGAAUCUUCCGCAAUGGGCGAAAGCCUGACGGAGCAACGCCGCGUGAGUGAUGAAGGUCUUCGGAUCGUAAAACUCUGUUAUUAGGGAAGAACAAAUGUGUAAGUAACUAUGCACGUCUUGACGGUACCUAAUCAGAAAGCCACGGCUAACUACGUG